rnacentral:rRNA from 1 species
UACGUAGGGUGCAAGCGUUGUCCGGAAUUACUGGGCGUAAAGCGCGUGUAGGUGGAUUGGUGUGUCAGAUGUGAAAUCCCUGGGCUCAACCCAGGAACUGCACCUGAAACUACCAGUCUUGAGUGGUGGAGAGGGAAGUGGAAUUCCUGGUGUAGAGGUGAAAUUCGUAGAUAUCAGGAGGAACACCAGUGGCGAAGGCGGCUUCCUGGACACCAACUGACGCUGAGACGCGAAAGCGUGGGGAGCAAACAGG